AGAGGGGUCUGAGCAAAGAGCGGGUUAGGCACAAAAGAGAAGAGAAGAGAAGAGAAGGGUUCGAAGAAGUAAAAUCGCAGGGGAAGAGAAGGGUUUGAGCACCGAAUACUAUUAAAAACAUUCACUCCUUGGCUUCUAAUGGCUGAUCAUAUAAUACUGUCGAAGGAGGAAAAUCGAGAAAGAGGGAGAAGUGAGAGGCUUCGAACGGUAAGGGUUUCAAAUGAUGUUCUCUCUCUCUCUCUUCACCCCACUCUCAUACUCUCUCUUAUAUGCCCUACCACACCACCAAUUUCUAGGGCUUAUAUAUCUCGUUGUGGUAAAUCGACCCAAUUAAGAGUUCUGAGAAGCCAUGGACAAAGAGACACCACUCGUUGCUGAACACUUGGAUUUUGAAACCCUAACCAAGAGCUGUCUUGUUGAUUUUCUUGGGUCAUGGUGUUGCUUAGAACUUUGAGAAUAUUAUCAAAACUGUGAGUUCUAACAUUGCUUGUUGUCAUUUUUGAAGUAAAUUUUUGAAGAAAAUUUUGUUUUCUGAAGAAAAAUUUGAUUUGAUUAAUGUUUUUUUUCUAGAGUUUAGUUGAUCAUUUUUAGCCUUUAAACUAUCGAUUUCAUCUAUUUAGUGUUCUACUUUCUAGAGUGUUCUAUUUCAUCUAUUUAUAUAUGUAUACAUACUCACAUAUGUUUGAUUGAGUUGGUUAGAAUUGAUACUGGUCUUGCCCCCAAUCCCUAAUUAAUGUGUUCAAUUUCAUGUGCAUAUAUGGUGCUUGGUUGCUAUAGACAACGUGUUUGACAAAAGUCCCAAGUGAGAUGAGAUUCCUCUUGCUUUGAUUCUCUUUUCUGACUAACCAAAUAGAGUAUUUUCCUCAUUUGAUUACUCUGGUUAAUUGUAUGUUACAAUUUUUAGCCUAAUUUGUACUCUCUUUUUUUUUAUCUGUUAAAAAUGGUUGAGAGGAAAAGUGAAAGAUGUUCCUUCUGGGGAUAGUUUGGUGGCAAUAGGGAGCACCAAGGCAGAAAUCCCCCCUGAGAAGACAAUCACUUUGUCAUCCCUUAUUGCUCCAAGAUUGGCCCGUAGAUGUGGUGUUGAUAAGCCAUUUGCAUGGGAAAGUAGAGAGUAUUUAAGGAAACUGUGUAUAGGAAAGGAUGUCACAUUCAAAGUGGAUUAUAUUGUACCAUCUAUUGGGCAAGAGUUUGGCUUUGUUUUCCUUGGUGAUAAGAAUGUUGCAUUGAUGGUUGGGUAAAGGUGCAGGUUAAGGAGCAGGGUCAACAGAAAGGAGAUGCUAGUCCUUUCUUAGCAGAACUGCUACGUCUUGAAGAGCCAGCCAAGCAACAAGGGCUAGGACGUUGGACCAGGGUUGUGCAGAUGGUUUGGCUGGGUAUGAUCUAGGUAGCCCAGUCAAUUUUCAGCAAAUUCUUCUUGGUUUUAUCAGAGAGUGAUGGUGCUGUAUGGAAGCCAGGCUGCAACUCUGCACCAGUUCCAAUUCUAGUUCUUUGUGCCUUGGGUCAAUCCGUUGUUCUAUUUAUUUUCUUUCCUCCUCUCAAUGUUUUGUGAUUUUGGAAAUUUUCUUUUUAUUUCAAUUGUGUAUCAGUGUUACUGUCCCUUCUUCUACAGGUUGUAUAGGAGAUCUGUUCUUUGGGUAGUUGUCGGUUAUGGUGUCCCCAUGAAGCUUGUUGUUUUGCUGUAACCAGAUAGUGAUAUAUGUUAUGAUCCUGAAGGCCUUGGUACAAAGCUAUUGCAGCUACUCAUACAUAUGGAGGCUUUUUAGUUUGUCUACAGGUCUUUGUGUCGCCACUGCUUAUUGGUUGUGAUGAAGUAAUGCCUUGGCUCAGUUGUUUGGAAUUAGUGGGUUUUGCUUUCCUGGUUUCCUCUGUUUGCUGAUAUGGGCCCUUUUGUUCUUGUUCUACCUCCAUAUUUUCUUUUAGAUAUGGAUGUUGAACAGGUUGUUUGGCCCCUUUGCUUUUUCUGUCUUCUAGGUCUUUAGCUUGGUUGUAGUUUUUGUUAGUUUGGUUUUAUUGUAUAGCUAUGGUAGGGCCUGGGGUAUGCCCCUUGGAAUCCUAUAUAUUUUCCUAUUUUAUUUUAUGACUUAUUCACCCAAAAAAAAAAUUGUAUAUUUUGGUG